rnacentral:rRNA from 1 species
AGACGUCUACAUUAGAUACCCGUGUAGUCCCAGCCGUAAACUAUGCGCGUUAGGUGUAUCGGUGACCACGAGUUACCGAGGUGCCGAAGGGAAACCGUGAAACGUGCCGCCUGGGAAGUACGGUCGCAAGGCUGAACUUAAAGGAAUUGGCGGGGGAGCACCACAACAGGUGGAGCCUGCGGUUUAAUUGGACUCAACGCCGGGAAGCUCACCGGAUAGGACAGCAGAAUGAUUGCCGGGCUGAAGACUCUGCAUGACUAGCUG